UACAGAGGUGGCGAGCGUUAUUCGGAAUUAUUGGGCGUAAAGGGCGCGUAGGCGGCUUGACAAGUCCCGGGUGAAAUCCCUCGGCUCAACCGAGGAACUGCCUUGGAAACUGUCUGGCUUGAGGCCGGGAGAGGGUAGUGGAAUUCCCAGUGUAGCGGUGAAAUGCGUAGAUACUGGGAGGAACACCGGUGGCGAAGGCGGCUACCUGGACCGGUUCUGACGCUGAGACGCGAAAGCGUGGGGAGCAAACAGG
rnacentral:rRNA from 1 species